CUCCUCAAUGAAUAAUUUUAAAUAGCUGCAGUAUAAAUAACUGUACAAAGGUAGCAUAAUAAUUUGUUUUUUAAUUGAAAACUAGAAUGAAUGAUUAAAUGAAAUAUAAACUAUAUCAAAUUUAAAAAAUAAAUUUAUUAUUUAAAUAAAAAAAUUUAAAUAAUUUUUAAAGACGAGAAGACCCUAAAGAAUUUUAAUAAUAAAUUAUAAUAUAAAUUUAAAAUUUAUUAUAUUAAUUGGGGAAAUUUUAAAAUUUAAAAAAUUUUUAAUUAAAUAAACAUAAAUUUUUGAAUAUUUAAAAUUUUUUUAAAAAAUGAAAUUAAAUUACCUUAGGGAUAACAGCAUAAUUUUUUUAAAAAG
rnacentral:rRNA from 1 species